UAUGGGCGAGAGCCUGAACCAGCCAAGUAGCGUGAAGGAUGACUGCCCUANCGGUUGUAAACUUCUUUUAUAAAGGAAUAAAGUCGGGUAUGCAUACCCGUUUGCAUGUACUUUAUGAAUAAGGAUCGGCUAACUCCGUGCCAGCAGCCGCGGUAAUACGGAGGAUCCGAGCGUUAUCCGGAUUUAUUGGGUUUAAAGGGAGCGUAGAUGGAUGUUUAAGUCAGUUGUGAAAGUUUGCGGCUCAACCGUAAAAUUGCAGUUGAUACUGGAUAUCUUGAGUGCAGUUGAGGCAGGCGGAAUUCGUGGUGUAGCGGUGAAAUGCUUAGAUAUCACGAAGAACUCCGAUUGCGAAGGCAGCCUGCUAAGCUGCAACUGACAUUGAGGCUCGAAAGUGUGGGUAUCAAACAGGAUUAGAUACCCUGGUAGUCCAAGGGCGAAUUC
rnacentral:rRNA from 1 species